AACGAACGCUGGCGGCAUGCCUAACACAUGCAAGUCGAACGCGUGUAGCAAUACACGAGUGGCGGACGGGUGAGUAACGCGUGGGAACCUGCCCAGUGGUAGGGAAUAACUGCGGGAAACUGCAGCUAAUACCCUAUACGCCCUUUGGGGGAAAGAUUCAUCGCCAUUGGAGGGGCCCGCGUCGGAUUAGCUAGUUGGCGGGGUAACGGCCCACCAAGGCAACGAUCCGUAGCUGGCUGAGAGGAUGAUCAGCCACACUGGGACUGAGAUACGGCCCAGACUCCUACGGGAGGCAGCAGUGGGGAAUAUUGGACAAUGGGGGAAACCCGUGAUCCAGCAAUGCCGCGUGAGUGAAGAAGGCCUUCGGUUGU
rnacentral:rRNA from 1 species